GGGGUUGUGGCACAGAGGUAGAGUACUCACCUAGCAUGUGUGAGGUACUGGGUUCGAUCCUCAGCACUACA
rnacentral:tRNA from 1 species